rnacentral:rRNA from 1 species
UACGUAGGGUGCAAGCGUUAAUCGGAAUUACUGGGCGUAAAGCGUGCGCAGGCGGUUAUAUAAGACAGUUGUGAAAUCCCCGGGCUCAACCUGGGAACUGCAUCUGUGACUGUAUAGCUAGAGUACGGUAGAGGGGGAUGGAAUUCCGCGUGUAGCAGUGAAAUGCGUAGAUAUGCGGAGGAACACCGAUGGCGAAGGCAAUCCCCUGGACCUGUACUGACGCUCAUGCACGAAAGCGUGGGGAGCAAACGGG